CCUACGGGUGGCAGCAGUGGGGGAUAUUGCACAAUGGGGGAAACCCUGAUGCAGCGACGCCGCGUGGGUGAAGAAGUAUUUCGGUAUGUAAAGCCCUAUCAGCAGGGAAGAAAGAAGACGGUACCUGACUAAGAAGCCCCGGCUAACUACGUGCCAGCAGCCGCGGUAAUACGGAGGGGGCGAGCGUUAUCCGGAUUCACUGGGUGUAAAGGGAGCGUAGACGGCCGUGCAAGCCAGGAGUGAAAGCCCGGGGCCCAACCCCGGGACUGCUCUUGGAACUGUGCGGCUGGAGUGCGGGAGGGGCAGGCGGAAUUCCUGGUGUAGCGGUGAAAUGCGUAGAUAUCAGGAGGAACACCGGCGGCGAAGGCGGCCUGCUGGACCGCGACUGACGUUGAGGCUCGAAAGCGUGGGGAGCGAACAGGAUUAGAUACCCCUGUAGUC
rnacentral:rRNA from 1 species